rnacentral:piRNA from 1 species
UCGGUGGUUAAGGGCACUGGCUGUUCUUC